GAUGAACGCUAGCGGCAGGCCUAAUACAUGCAAGUCGAGGGGUAGAAGAGGCCUGCUUCUUUGAGACCGGCGCACGGGUGCGUAACGCGUAUGCAACCUACCUUCAUCUGGGGGAUAGCCCGGAGAAAUCCGGAUUAAUACCGCAUAAAAUCACAGGAUGGCAUUAUCCAAUGAUCAAACAUUUAUGGGAUGGAGAUGGGCAUGCGUGUCAUUAGCUGGUUGGCGGGGUAACGGCCCACCAAGGCGACGAUGACUAGGGGAUCUGAGAGGAUGGCCCCCCACACUGGUACUGAGACACGGACCAGACUCCUACGGGAGGCAGCAGUAAGGAAUAUUGGUCAAUGGAGGCAACUCCGAACCAGCCAUGCCGCGUGCAGGAAGACUGCCCUAUGGGUUGUAAACUGCUUUUAUUCGGGAAUAAACCUUAUUACGUGUAAUAAGCUGAAUGUACCGAAGGAAUAAGGAUCGGCUAACUCCGUGCCAGCCGCCGCAGUAA
rnacentral:rRNA from 1 species